GAAAUAUUAUUAUACAUUAAUAUAUUCAGUUACACUUAUAAAAUGAAAAAUAAAAAAUUAUAUCCUAUUAUUUUAUCUAUUAUACAAUCAUAAGCAAUCAUUUUAUAAGAAAAUUAUUAUAUUGAUAUAGAUAUGAUAAAAUUAUGUUAAAUUAAUACAUUUAUAUAUAAUUUAUUUUCAUAAUUAUAAUUAUUUAUGUUCAAAAAUAUAAUACAUUGUUAAGACGGGUUAACAAUAACAAACUAUGUAAUACAUGUAUAAAAAUUAACAUAUAUUUCAUCAAAGCUAAUAAUAUAAAAUAUUUGUAACUACUUUAAUCAUGAUAUCUUUUUAUUAUAUAUAUGUAAAUAUAUAUAUCUAUAAUACAUGUAUAAAAAUUAACAUAUAUUUCAUCAAAGCUAAUAAUAUAAAAUAUUUGUAACUACUUUAAUCAUGAUAUCUUUUUAUUAUAUAUAAAUAUAAAUAUAUAUAUAUAUAUAUAUAUAUAAAGAAAUGUUUGCCCAUCUCCUGUGCUACCACAUCAUCAAUUUGGUGAAGGAGAGUGCGACACCUAUCCUUCCUUUCAAAACGUCGCGUUAGAUAAUGCAAAAUACAAUACAAUAUUUAAAUAUAUACUGAAAUUUUAAAUUUGUUAGAUAAUGCAAAAUAUAAUUUUUCCGUCAAAAUUUCAAAAACCAGAACAAAAAAUUAAGUUUUAGCUAAAACAGAAAAUCAAAUUUUUUCGACAAAAACUAAAAAUCGAGUUUUCCCCCACAACUAAGAAUCAGGUUUUUCUGUCAAAAACGAAAACUGAGUUUUUCCCACCAUAAACUAAAAAUCGAGUAUUCCAGCAAAAUCACAAAAUCAAAUUUCCCGCCAAAACCGAAAAAAACUCAAUUUUAAGUUAUAGCUGAAAAACUCGAUAUUGCGGUUUUGGCGGAAAAACUCGAUUUUGCGAUUUUGGCAUGUAAACUUGAUUUUGAUGCUCAACAAAUUGGAGGAAAUAAUCAUAUCAUUUCUUAAUUUUUCUAAUUUUAUCUUUAAAAUUUAAGAACAAAAAUAAAUGAAAUAUUUUUUCAAUUAAAUAGGGUAACCUGGUACCAGCUCUAACUCUUGAUUAUAAUAGGGUUAAAAUAGGGCUGGGUUAAAAUAGGGAUGGGCUUAUAAUAAACAAAAGAGGGUUGGGCCCUAACCCUGUAGUUAACAUCCCUAGGCACACGCUAUAACCGUUGGGAAGCGUACCAGAACCAGCUGGGGUUGUGUCCGUCAGCUCAGCCGUAGUCUUAGUCCUAACAUGAUUGUCUAGAGGCCCGAGUAGCUUAACUUAAGUGAUGUUAAAAAAAGUGAAGCUGAUUAUCAGCCGUUGCCAUCUCAGCUAAGCAUUUGUUCAGGGGCAAGCGUUACAAAGGUCAACAAUGGCACACAAUUGGUGAGUGCAACUAAGUUUACUUCAAGUCAGUUCCACGAUCUCUGCAUAUAAGGAUUUGAUGACAAAGUGGAAACUCAGAAUUUCAUCUUCUUUGCGUUGACCAUUUUUGAAACAGAACCUUCUGGUCAUGGUGAAUUCACAAAUCCAUCUCUCCGAAAUGAAGCCAGGGCGUAGCAAGCAGGUUGUGUUCACACGUCUGCUUUGGUUUUGGGGAUCUAGAAUGUUAAGAAAGGAGGAAAGCUAAUUGGGUUGACAUGGUGUUUGUCGCAGAAAAGGUUAGUAACAGAUCUUUUGUUUCUUAUGUAUCUAUAAAUGUAAAAGUGGUGUUUGUCUUAAACAAAAGAAUUGUAUUUGUAAUAAAUGUUUUGGAUAUCCGAUUGGGGUAAGAAUUUUUGAGACUCUGAUCUGAUGGCUUAAAAUUGAUCUGGGCGAAGAGCAGGAUUCUGCUUACUUAAGAUCCAAAUUAAUAAAUCAAAACAUAGUAUUUCGUUGCAAGUGUUAAAGCAAGUUUCAAUCCACUGUGUGCUACCUUAACUUCAUUGUUUAUAAGCAGUAGUCAUACAAGAACCUUCAAGUUAUUCAUAAACGCGAAAAAACAAAACAUCAUCAGCAAGCAAAAGAAUAUCAAUUUAUGAGACAUACUAAUCAGUUUUUAUCUCAGGGAGUUGAAGAGUUUCACUUUGUCUAAAUUUCUCAAGAGUAAAAAUCCUUCUGUCAGAGAGUCAUGAAAAACCUUUGCAUGUAGAAACAAAGAUCGUAUCUACAGCCAGUAGUCAUGUCGGUAUUCUAAUGUAUAUUGUUAAAGCUACAGAGAAACAAUGAUCACGUUCAUGCCUCACAACUCAACCAAUAUUCAAAUUUAUUAAAAAGUUCACAUUUUUUUCAUGUUAAUACUUCCGCAUCUCAAGAUUCUAAGAAAAAAAAAGGAAUUCUAAAGCAGUUUCUAAUAAUAUUUCUCAUCGUUGUAAUAGCAUAAUUAAUCAGACGUUCAAAAAAAAUAAUAAUGCAAACACAAUGCUACCGGUAGUUAAAUUUUGUUCAAUGUGUGGAUAAUUAAACUAAACCAUGUUCAUUGUUCAAUACCAAAUCUAAUAAGUAGUUAAAUGACAGCUGAAACAUUUUAGAAACUACAAAAUAGUUAUGAAAAUAAAUAAAUUUAAUGGAAACACUACUUAUGAAAGUUGAUGUUAAUUUCAAUUUAGACAAAAAUAAAACGAAAAGUAUUUUUAUUAAAUAAAAACUAUAAUAAAAAAUAAUAAUUAAAAUAAUAAAAUGUCACAUAUAUAUUUAAUAAUAAAUAAAAUAAAUUAUAUCAGAAAUAUAAAUAGAUAUCAAACAUUAAACUAAAUAAUAUAAUAUCCCGCGAAAGAAAUCUGAGCUGAGUUUAUACUAUAGGCACAAGAACUCUGGGAAGCAAAAACACGAGAGCUCAAAAUAAACCUAUAUUUAAAUUUUUUAAUAUGUUGUAAUCAAUCAAAAUUAAACUACAACCAAGAUUUUUAAAAAAUAUACAAAAAUAUAUGAAAUAUUAAAUUAAAAUUUAAAUCUAUGUAGUAAAGCGUAUGUUAGAAUAUCUUAUAAAACUUUUAGGCCUUCAUCACCAUUUGCAACUAUAUAUAGAAAAACAAUGUCAAACUUCAAUACAUUUUGUUAUGUAUAAACUGCAUAAAAAUGUCAAAGAAAGUAUAUAGAAAAUGACUUUGAAACAAUCAAAAUAUGAAUUAAUAAUUUAGAAUGGUUUGGUUUGUACCAAGUUUUUUUUUUUUUGUAAAAAAUCCUAUAGAUUGCUUCCGUGUGCGAUAGAGUUGGUUUGAACUACAGUCUAAGAGAAAUCAAAAGUAUAUUCAAAAACAAAAGUAUAAAAGUUAGAAAAAUAUAAGCCAAAGUAACCAAAAGAAUUUCACACAAAAGAAACAAAGAAAUGCCAAAAAAGAGCAACUGCUAAUAAUGUCAAUUACUAACAUUCUCCAAAAAAACUAUAUUAACUUUGACAAAUAAUUUCUCUAAAUAAAAACUCCAUUCUACACUGUUUUAUAAACCCUCACAAAAAUGGUAUUAGAAAACUCGAUCUCAUUUUCUUUUGAUCGAAUCCGAUUGAUUUAUGUAUUUUAUAGUGUUAUAAAACUUAAAACAUUAUAAAAACUUACAAUUCGGGAUUAACACAACAAUGAUACUAAGAAAUUGAUCAUUUUUAAUUAUAUAAUUUAAAUUUGGUGUAGGCAACAUAAUCAUAUUCACAUCCAACUUAACAUAAAAAAUUUUUACGCAAAAUUAUAUUUUUUUUAUAAAAACUGAUCCAUCAAAAAUAAAAAUAAAGAAUUUUAAUUAGACAUAUAUGCGAAGAUGAUAUAAAAAUAUGUUCUCAUUAUUAAAAAAACAUAACAAAAAAAGAAAGAUAAUAACUAAAAUAGUAUAAAAUCAUAAAAUAUAAUUGACAACAAAUAAAAACAAAAAUAAGUUAGAAAAAUAAACAAACAUCAAACGUUAAGUAAAAUGUAUAUAAUAUCUCUUCUCACCGAAAUACAUAUAAUAUCUCUUCUCACCGAAAUUUUUCUAAAAGACAAUAUAUAUCUCUUUCAAUUGUAAGCCUAAAACACAAAUCAUAAAAUUAUACAAAAAUAAAAAUAUAGAUCACAAAUAAAGUAUAUCCCGUCCAUAGGGCGGGCCUACCCUAGUAUAUAUAUAUAUAUAUAUAAAGUAUUAUAAUAAAUCUGUUACGCUAAAUGAUUAUGUAACGCCUCGACCACCCACGGAUAAUAGGUCACUCACCUCCACUCACUCGUCUAUUAGCCCAUUUCUUGUGGCAGACAGUGCAUUAAUUUUUCAGAGGCUGAGAAUUUUUGUUUACUGACCCUACAAUCACCACAUGAUUUUUUUCAUGUUUUGGUAUCACUCACAUGAUAUCAUAAAUUUUCAUGUCACAUAUUCUUUCAUUAUUCCAACUCAAGCAUGAUUAACUCUAGAGUUCUAAAUGGAUGUGUGACAUAAAAUGUAAGUGCAAUUUGGUGACGCAGGUAGCCAAAUCAAUUCUUUUAAACUUUUUCAUAUACCAUUAAAGAGAUGUUACAAUUCACCUCUCUCACAUAAUGUAACGUCCUCGUUGCGCUCCAAUAUCGUUAUCCAUGUUAGUGUGAGCCUACACAAGGACUCUACACUUGUCUGGAUUUGGCUAAGAUGCCACUUGUAACGCCCCCAAUUGCUCACGACUAAUGGACCACCUGUGCCAGCUCACUUAACCCAUAGGAUCCAUUCCGUGACUUUUCCCCAUGUCUUAACUCACUCACACGAUAUCGCAAAUCACUUCCCGAUAGGUCACAAAUCUUUUCAUUACUCUAGCUUAAGCAUGCUUGACUCUAGAGUUAUAAACAAAUGCAUGACCAAAAAUGUAGGUGCUUUUUGGUCAAAUCAAUGCUUUUAAACCUUUCCAUAUACCACAAACCGGUAUGCUACAUACAGAUUAUUCCAAAAUUGUUAUUAUUAUAGGUAACUAAGAAUAUUACAAAACGGAACCGACAACUCUUUUAAAACUAUUUGAAUUGUUUCCAUUAUGUUAAGACAUUCAAACUCUUAAAAAUAACUAUGCCAACCAAUGAUUUAUAAAUUAUGUUGAUAGCUAGUGGAAGUUAUAAAGGAAAUCUACACUUAGUCUUGAGAACCAAAUCGGUGCUGAUAGGCAUGGACGUUUGGUGGCCCAUCCGGUUUCGAUCUGGGUGAUCGGAUUUUUGGUGUUAUACUCCUAAGUACCAUUUGAGGUUUACUAAUUAUCGGAUUAGGUUCAGUUCGGUUCCUUCCGGGUUCGGUCGGAUCAGAUUUAACCAAUGUUUAAAAUCGUCCAAAAAUAUAUUUUUAAAACCUCAAAAAUUGUCAAAGAGAAUUAUAAAAUAUAUAAAUAAUUUACAAAUCUAAUUAAAAAUUAGUUAAUUUAUCUAAAUUAACUAAAAAGUAUUCAAAAUAAUUAAUAAAACAAACUACACAAAUAUUUUGAAUACUUUAAAAUAUCUAAAUCGCCUUAAAAUAUAUGAAAACAUUAACAUAUUUAACUAAUUUCGGAUAUCUUCGGAUCCUAGUUCGGAUUUCGAUUCUGUUCGGGGCAUAACCAAAGUCCAAAGUACUAAGCUCAUAAGUCCCGUUCGGAUAUUUUUGUAUAACAGUUUGGAUUCAGUUUCAGUUUUUCCGGUUCGGGUUUAGGUUGGUACUUCGGGUUGAGGUAAAAUCGCCCAUGCUUAGGUGCUGAUCCGAAAAGACUUUCAACAAAAAGUUAACUAUAUCCAUGUCUUUCUGUUUCAUGGUGAAGUGUGCACGUCUCAUGGCUAGGGAGAACACGAUCAUGUGGUGGCUCGGGUCUGAUUUUCUCGGAAUGUUGAAAUUCUGAGUUUAUCUGAGUGACACACUCAUACUCCGGUGAUCUUAGUUGUGAAGAGCGUUUUCUAAGUAGAGGCUAAGACGCGUUUAAUAUCUGAAGCUGAGCUAGUGGUGCGAUGGAAUCUCGAGUUGACAUCUCAUAACGAAUUCAUGCUUUUCACCGCCAGGUUGAGUAAUCAUUGGUUAAAUCUGAUCCGAACCGAACCCGGAAGGAACGAACUGAACCUGAUCCGAUAAUUAGUAAACCCCAAAUGGUACUUAGGAGUAUAACACCGAAAAUAUAUUUUUAAAACCUCAAAGAGAAAUUACAAAAUAUAUAAAUAAUCUACAAAUCUAAUUAAAAAUUAGUUAAUUUAUCUAAAUUAACUAAAAAGUAUUCAAAAUAAUUAAUAAAACAAACUACACAAAUAUUUUGAAUACUUUAAAAUAUUUAAAUCACCUUAAAAUAUAUGAAAACAUUAACAUAUUUAACUAAUUUCGGAUAUCUUCGGAUCCUAGUUCGGAUUUCGAUUCGGUUUGGGGCAUAACCAAAGUCCAAAGUACUAAGCUCAUAAGUCCCGUUCGGAUAUUUUUGUAUAACAGUUUGGAUUCAGUUUCGGUUUUUUCGGUUCGGAUUUAGGGUUGUACCUCGGGUUGAGGUAAAAUCGCCCAUGCCUAGGUGCUGAUCCAAAAUGACUUUCUACAAAAAGUUAACUAUAUCCGUGUCUUUCUCUUUUAUGGUGAAGUGUGCACGUCUCAUGGCUAGGGAGAACACGAUCAUGUGGUGGCUCGGGUCUGAUUUUCUCGUGAAUGUUGAAAUUCUGAGUUUAUCUGAGUGACACACUCAUACUCCGGUGAUCUUAGUUGUGAAGAGCAUUUUCUAAGUAGAGGCUAAGACGCGUUUAAUAUCUGAAGCUGAGCUAGUGGCGCGAUGGAAUCUCGAGUUGAUAUCUCAUAACGAAUUCAUGCUGAACUUGAGUUCCUUAUUCGCCGCCAGGUUGAGUAAUCAUGUUCUUAGCUGUUUAUUAUGUUUCCCGGUCCAGGAGGCUGUAUCGGGUUCUCAGAACAAGGUUCUUCUUGGACUUCCAUCGAGUUGUUCCAUUGUUUAUUGAAGAGUUGGUGAUAGUCCAUAUGCAGUUAUUAGUGCCUUAAACUCGCUCUCUAGUAACCUUUGUUAUUAAGUUUUGACGAUCAAGAUAAUCAAGCCUUCAUCAUGUCCGCAACUACGAUUUGAUCUCCAUCGGUUGCUGGAGGCGGUGAGAUGACUGCAUUGGGAUCGGCUACUCCAGUUUGAAUGUUGUCACGUUCAGGUGUUCAUGUCAUCGUUGAUCUUCUGUGGUUUCUUCCUAAUUCCAAUUGUUGUAUUUGAAUUCGGCAUGCAUAGAUAUAACACAUUUUCGAUGAUGAGUUUUUUGAAAGAAGCUUUACAAAAAAGAAUUAAUGAUUACAUGACAAGGUAUUGAAAUUGCUAGGAAAUUGUGGUUAAAAAAAAAGAACACUCCAAAAUACUUAUAUCUCUUCAACCUUUUUGUAAAUUAUGAAUCCAUUUGUUAAGAUUUAAGCAGGAAGUUCAAUACACACAUCGAAUUACAAUCUCACACAAGCACUCAAGAACAAUCGAUAUCAACAAGACAUCGAUUACUUGUCAUACCAAUCUCAACACGAGAAACGCCUCAAGACUUAAGUCUCCAAUGCUAAGCUUUGAUCACAAAUCCGAUGAUGAAGAUGAAAGAAUGGAAAAACAAUUACAUAUAAAAGUCUAAUUGAAUGUAAAUG